UUGUCAAGAGUAGCUUGCAAAGGGUAUGGGUAUAAGUGUUUCUCCGAUCCGAGAUCACUAUGGUGACUUGGAAGCAACUCACUGUACUUUGAUGGCAGACUAUCUGAAUUUCUAAUUCAGUAAUGGAAGAUUUUUAGGGACAGUCAAGUAUUUGUUAAGUCAGUGUGUGAGUCAAGAAGGGAUUGACACCUCAGAAUAAGUAGGAGUUAAUACAUCAGUGUA
rnacentral:lncRNA from 1 species